rnacentral:rRNA from 1 species
UACGGAGGGUGCAAGCGUUAUCCGGAUUCACUGGGUUUAAAGGGUGCGUAGGUGGCUUUGUAAGUCAGUGGUGAAAUCUUAGAGCUUAACUCUAAAGCUGCCAUUGAUACUGCUUAGCUUGAAUCAAGUAGAGGUGGAUGGAAUAUUACAUGUAGCGGUGAAAUGCUUAGAUAUGUAAUAGAACACCGAUUGCGAAGGCAGUUCACUAUGCUUGUAUUGACACUGAGGCACGAAAGCGUGGGGAGCGAACAGG